rnacentral:rRNA from 1 species
CAAGUCGAACGAGUGAGAGAGAGCUUGCUUUCUCGAGCGAGUGGCGAACGGGUGAGUAACGCGUGAGGAACCUGCCUCAAAGAGGGGGACAACAGUUGGAAACGACUGCUAAUACCGCAUAAGCCCACGACCCGGCAUCGGGUAGAGGGAAAAGGAGCAAUCCGCUUUGAGAUGGCCUCGCGUCCGAUUAGCUAGUUGGUGAGGUAAUGGCCCACCAAGGCGACGAUCGGUAGCCGGACUGAGAGGUUGAACGGCCACAUUGGGACUGAGACACGGCCCAGACUCCUACGGGAGGCAGCAGUGGGGAAUAUUGCACAAUGGGGGAAACCCUGAUGCAGCGACGCCGCGUGGAGGAAGAAGGUCUUCGGAUUGUAAACUCCUGUUGUUGAGGAAGAUAAUGACGGUACUCAACAAGGAAGUGACGGCUAACUACGUGCCAGCAGCCGCGG